AUUGAACGCUGGCGGCAGGCCUAACACAUGCAAGUCGAGCGAGCGGCGGACGGGUGAGUAAUGUAUGGGGACUGCCCGAUCGAGGGGGAUAACUACUGGAAACGGUGGCUAAUACCGCAUACUGUCUGAUAACCCAUCUGGGAUUAGCUAGUAGGUAAGGUAAUGGCUGACCUAGGCGACGAUCCCUAGCUGGUCUGAGAGGAUGAUCCGCCACACUGGGACUGAGACACGGCCCGGACGCCUACGGAGGCAGCAGUGGGGAAUAUUGGACAAUGGGCGCAAGCCUAAUGCAGCAAUGCGGGGUGUAUGAAGAAGGCCCUAGGGUUGUAAGGUACUUUCAGUCGGGAGGCGUUACCGACAGAAGAAGCACCGGCUAACUCCGUGCCAGCAGCCGCGGUAAUAC
rnacentral:rRNA from 1 species